AUUGUACUACAUAUUAGAAGUAAAAGUACCAGUGAGUACUAAAUUCUAGUACUCCAACUUUGAUUAUAUUGCAUCAACACCUAUAAAUACAUCAUCUCUCUAUUACCAUCGCAGCAGAAAUCAGCUCAGCAACUUUACCACUUUAACUUCAAGAAUUGGAGACGAUCCAAUGCAGUAUUAUGGUUUGAGUUCAUCGUUCCCGUCGAUCGAAUGAGCCUGCCUGAAUUUAUGGCAUCCACAAUCGGCACCAAAUUCAUCACCGGAGUGCUACUUUCAUCACCUUCAGCUUCCAAGUCCUCCAACAAGUCCCUUGUCCUUGAAUUCAUGUUACCAUUCCGAUCUCAUAUAUUUUGUUAAGCACAUGCAAGCUAUGCACAAACAAAACCUGGGACGCCAUUUUUUAUAUCUUGGCACCAAAGUUACCACCCGACUGUUAUUGCAUUCAACUCAUCCUCCAACAAGUUGGUUAUCUCUAUGCGCAACCUCUUAAUUUUCGAUACAAUUAACAUAAAAAUCAUAUAAAUAGAAAAAAGUUUGCGUAUAGAAAUAAAUGACUUGCUGUGGGAUGAGUUGAAGAUGAUAGCAGUCUGGUGGUAUCUUUGGUGCCAAGGAAAACAAGAUGGUCACCUUAAUUUUUUUAUUCUUGGUAUGCAUUAGUAAAUUUAGUGAUAGAAAUCAAUGUAUACUGAUGUGAGAAUAUGGUAUUGUUUGACUGAGGGUGAAACUUGAGAAAUGAAAUAAACAUGCAAUUAUUUGAUUCUAUCUACUCAUUCUCUCAUAACUUGUUGAUUUUGUGGUAUCAAUAAUGUUCAUAGAUAGAUUCAAUUACAAUUGACUUUACUUUAUGGUAAAAGUGAAUGUCAAAAUAGCUUCAACCAUCAACCAUAAGGAACAUGACAUGUGCAAUUCGAAUUAGAUUAUCCUAACAUCAUAUCGAUUCUCUGUUAUCUAAACAUAUUGAUAUUGACACAAUAUAAGCGACACGUUCUGAUUUCAACAGUUGGAUUCAAAAUUUUCUCAGUGGUAAGAGAAUUUAGAUUUCGUUUAUUUGGGGCGGCAAGGGUUUAUUUCUUUUUCUUUUUAUUCAAUAAUUAUUUGGACUCCCUUUCACUUGUAUUCAUGUUCUUCACCAAGAAGUAAAUAACUGUAAAUAAAAAGAGAAGAAAAAGUCGCACUUAAAAAAGAAAAAAAAGUAAAAAAAGUGGGCGUUUUGUGGACUCUUGAUUUGCAACAACGAUUGUAAUAUCAAACGCUUUUAUCUUCAUUUCGUUUCUCUGUCUCUGUCUGUGUGAUUUGUGUCGGGGUUUUAGACGAAAUUCGAGCUCGGGAGAAAAAGAGGGGUUUUGGGGGAUGUCUUCAACGUUUCCAGCCCAUGACAAAAAGUCGGGCAAAUGGGCAAGUAUUCCCCAAAAGAUGGAAAACCCAGCUCCAGCCCAUGACAAAAAGCAGGGCAAUCUGUGGGCCCAGCAGUGCCGGACUGCCCAAUCAGGCAAUUGGUGCCCAAACUUGUGCCCGAUUGCAACACCAAAAUAAAUUGCCAAGCCACACACUCAAGCCAAUUCGAGCUAUCUUUCUGUUCUUAUUGGCAAGUCAAGCUCUGAUAAUGGUGGCAAGUCGAUGCUUGUGCUGUGGAAAGGCAUCGAGACCCAGCGGAUCUCGGUCAUGGGCAAUCAUGCUAUUCAUUACCAGCUGGUAAGUACUCCUCAUAUAAUCCCCUCAUUCUCUGAGAUCAUGCUUGGUUUAUAAUCUUUACACUUUCAAGAUCAACAUCUUAAUAUCGCUUGUUGUCGAAAGACAUAUACUUUUCUUAAAUUUCAAUUUCAGACUUCAGAUUUACUGGUGUCGAAUUGAAAACUUCAGGGUGUUUUUUCUUAUUGCUGAGGGAUGCCUCUCGCCGGUUCAGUGAGAAAUGCAUACCGCACGAAGUUCCGGACUGUGUUUAUGAACGAUAAACUUUCAUGUGAGACAAUGAAGAAAUGAAUCUUCGGAGCUGGGGCUGCAUUUGUCGUCCUCACAGGCAUAUCCUCAGAGAUUUACUAUGUUAGUUAUUCCAGGGCUAACAAAUCCCCGGCUGCCUAUAGCAGAGACACCGGCGUGAGGAUGCAGAACCUCUAGAACAGAAACAAUUGGAGGGAAGUGAGAGUGAUCUUGUAUUAUCACUUGUAGUUGGUUGACUAAUAGCUGCAUGCCUAUCUUAUAUAUGAGUAUGGACUAAGUUAGUUAAUUAACAGGCCAUAUGAUUGAAUAUUUGAAAUGCUUGUGAUUUAUGUAUGAUAUUUGGAGUUUUAUGUC